rnacentral:rRNA from 1 species
AAUAUUGCUACUUGUACUAUCUGGGGGAUAGCUGGGCUUGAGUUGCCUAUGAAGGUCGUGGUAAGCUGCGUUAAGCUUGGGGUAGGAGCAGACAUCCCUUGAUCCCAAGAUUGCCUAAUGGGACUUCCUAAACAGUUUUUCUGUUUGAUCCGUUGAGGAUUGGGAACCCACUGAAUUGAAACAUCUUAGUAGGUGGAGGAAGAGAAAGCAAUAGCGAUAUCGUUAGUAACGGCGAGCGAAAACGAUGUAGGACAAACUGAAUCCCGUACUGUGAGGUAUGUGGAGAUGUGGUGUUUUGGACUUGAUUUUGGAUCUUCUUUUGUUAAGCUGAAGUUGACUUGGAAUGGUUGCACCGUAGAGGGUGAUAGUCCCGUAAGUAUGUGUGAUUGGAGAUUUUUUCUUGUUUCCUGAGUAGGAUGCAUUGGAUAUUGCGUUUGAAUUUGGGUGGCAUCAACACCUAAUCCUAAAUACAUCUCAAGACCGAUAGCGUAUUUAGUACCUUGAGGGAAUGCUGAAAAGAACCCCUAUUGGGGGGUGAAAAGAACUUGAAACCAGAUAGUGAUAGCCCGAUAUGGCCUUUAAGGAAUGAUGCUUUUGUGAAAGAGGCAGUGGUGACGCUGUAGUAUGAUUGAAAGCGGACUAGGGUUGUAUCGUCCGUCUUGUAACACGGGCCAGGGAGUUCUUUGUUGUGGCGAGGAUAAGGAGUGUGUAGCUUCGCAUUCGGAGGGAAACCGAUUCCUCGUAGCAUCUUGUGUGUGUGGGGGGAGGUCUUAAUAGGGCCUUUUAGUCACAGCAUUGAAACCCGAAGCCGGUCGAUCUAUUCCUGAGCAGGAUGAAGUCGCUCUUACGAGUGAUGGAGGUCCGCAGGGUUGUUGUUCUGCAAAACACUCCUCUGACUUGGGAAUAGUGGUGAAAGGCCAAUCAAGGCCGGUGACAGCUGGUUCCACUCGAAAUGACUCUUAGGUCAGCCUGACUGGAGAUUGGUAGCGGGGUAGAGCACUGAUUGGGCGUUUAGGGAGGGAAACUUCUCGGCGUUCUGUAAAACUCCGAACUCGUUACCGUUGUUGAUGGUUGGAGUGCGGGGCGCGGGGUAAGCUUGUGUCCCGAAAGAGAAACAACUCAGACUAUGGUUAAGGUCCCUAAAUGUUGGAUAAGUGUAAGGGAGUCUUUGGCCCAAGACAAUGGGCAGGUGGGCUUAGAAGCAGCCACCCUUUAACGAGUUCGUAACAGAUCACCCAUCGAGGUCAAAGGCAUCUAAAAUGGACGGGAAUUAAUCCAACUACCGAUACCAUAGAACACACGGUUUUGUGUGAUUGUGUAGAGUGGCGAUCUGUGAGGGUUGAAGUGGGGGCGUGAGUUCCUGUGGACCUUGCAGGUAUGCGGAUCCUGGUAGUAGUAGCAGCAAAGUAAGGUGAGAAUCCUUACCGCCGGAGGGGCUAGGGUUCCUUGGCAAUGUUCGUCAGCCAAGGGUUAGUCGAUCCUAAGGCCGGUCGUAAGUCGAGCCGGUCGAAAGGGAAACAGGUUAAUAUUCCUGUACAUAGUUGAUACGUGCGGUGACGCGUGGACUAGUUUCUGACGCUUUGAGAUAGGUUUUGUAUGAUUGUCGUCAUAUUUAAGUGUUUAAGCCAGGGGAGAGGUGUAAUGGCGAGAACCUGGUGUAGGCAUUAAUAGCGACCUGUAUUGGUUGUUUAACUGAUUCAUGGAGUCCUUGAAAAGGGAAUUGGUUUUAGAUUUCACUAUUUCGUACCGAGAUCCGUCACAGGUGCCCCUAGCUGAGUAGGCUAAGGCGUUUUAAGGUAAACUAGCUAAGGGAAAUCGGCAAAAUGGCCCCGUAACUUUGGGAUAAGGGGUGCCAGCUAUGUGAAUAGCUGGUCUCAGUGACUAGGGGGGCCCGACUGUUUAAUAAAAACAUAGCUCUCUGCUAGCCCGUAAGGGUGUGUACAGAGGGCGACACCUGCCCAGUGCUGGCACGUGAAGCUGGAGUUCAGUUCAGUGAAGCGCCAGUAAACGGCGGGGGUAACUAUAACCCUCUUAAGGUAGCGAAAUG